rnacentral:lncRNA from 1 species
GGUGGAGAGGGAAAGCUUAUAAGAACAAGCUAAUGGUGCCUGUCUUCUGUCAGUGUCUCAUCAGUGCCUGGUCUGCCUGAUCUGCCUGACCAGCAGCAAGCCUGGAGCCAGAGCGGAUGUUGGAGAAGAGGGGUCGAUUUUCAAAUGCACAACAAGAAGUGGUUUGAGCUUUCGGGGAAAAUAAUGGAGCCAUAAAAUUGGGAAUAGCACCAGUGACACGAGCAGGUGGAAGAAAAUUGAACAAAUAUGAAACCAGAUAACAAAUGCAAAGUAACU